GCCGGGAUAGUCUAGUGGUUAUGACGUCUGCCUUACACGCAGAAGGUCGCGAGUUCAAUCCUCGCUCCUGGUA
rnacentral:tRNA from 1 species